AGGAAUAUGUGACAGAGGAGAGAGAUGAAAAGGCCAGUGAUUGCUUCUCUGGUGUUCAGAUGGGCUUGGAUCACUCCCGAAUCUGAUAAUACUCCUCUUUCAAUUGUCCUUAUAAUAUCAGUUGAAGUUCAUGCUUGGCUUUACUGGUUAAGCAACUGAAGAGUCAUUGUCCUCCUUAUGAUUCUGAGCUUGAGUAGUUUAAAGGAUUUGGCUUGACUCAAGCUAAAUGUGUUUAAGGUGAAGAAGCAUAAAAGUAGUGUCUGCGUGUUGAUUUCCGGAGGAGCUGGUGCUUCCAUCUCAUAGUAGCAGCCGAAGCAGAAACAGUACUGGCGUUGAUUACUUCUGAUCCAUGCUAUCAGUUCUGACCUAUUAAUAAACAUUUGCAAUGGUCCGCUUAUACAGGAGAAAACCAUACUCCAUAUAUCUGAGCUAUCGUCACACUUGAGAUGAAGAUGAUCUCUGGUUCUGGAUCCCGAGAACAGAGGCAGCUUGAUGUUUGGCUGAGUAUGCUUGAAAUGAAAAUAUUUACGUAUGUGGCUUACACAACUUAGUACUAUAAAAUUGUUUUAUUUUUUGAA